rnacentral:piRNA from 1 species
UGAGAGAACUUGAGGGCAGAUUUAAAAU